rnacentral:rRNA from 1 species
CAUGCAAGUCGAGCGAAGCACUUUAUUUGAUUUCCUUCGGGACUGAUUAUUUUGUGACUGAGUGGCGGACGGGUGAGUAACGCGUGGGUAACCUGCCUUGUACAGGGGGAUAACAGUUGGAAACGACUGCUAAUACCGCAUAAGCGCACGGCAUCGCAUGAUGCAGUGUGAAAAACUCCGGUGGUAUAAGAUGGACCCGCGUUGGAUUAGCUAGUUGGCGAGGUAACGGCCCACCAAGGCGACGAUCCAUAGCCGACCUGAGAGGGUGACCGGCCACAUUGGGACUGAGACACGGCCCAAACUCCUACGGGAGGCAGCAGUGGGGAAUAUUGCACAAUGGGCGAAAGCCUGAUGCAGCGACGCCGCGUGAGCGAAGAAGUAUUUCGGUAUGUAAAGCUCUAUCAGCAGGGAAGAUAAUGACGGUACCUGACUAAGAAGCACCGGCUAAAUACGUGCCAGCAGCCGCGGUAAUACGUAUGGUGCAAGCGUUAUCCGGAUUUACUGGGUGUAAAGGGAGCGCAGGCGGUGCGGCAAGUCUGAUGUGAAAGCCCGGGGCUCAACCCCGGUACUGCAUUGGAAACUGUCGUACUAGAGUGUCGGAAGGGUAAGCGGAAUUCCUAGUGUAGCGGUGAAAUGCGUAGAUAUUAGGAGGAACACCAGUGGCGAAGGCGGCUUACUGGACGAUAACUGACGCUGAAGCUCGAAAGCGUGG